rnacentral:misc_RNA from 1 species
ACUUACAAUGCAUGUAAUAAGUUACAUAGACACUGUGGCAAGAGUUGCACAUUUCUCUACCUCAAAAAGUUAAUAAUGAAACAGUAUGCAAUUCCAAGGUUUGAAGUCACAUAACUAGGAUCCGUCUAUACUGAAUUUCUCGUCAUACCUAUCCUACGAUCAUAGAAUCAAGAAAACAUCUACCAAAACUGGGUUACUGUUGCUCCAACAACAAUAACCAUUCCUGCAAAAUCCUGAAUCUAGAAUAUAUCAUGCAAACACUCACAUGAUGACUCCUUCAACAUUGUUAAGAGCCUUCUUUGCAAUCUUGAAUUUAUCUGCCAGAGACUUUUGGCUAUCAAUGACAUACUUGCGGAUAAAGAAGACAAUCCCAUCACGAAGUGAUUCAUACUCUGGCAAAAGAGCAAUUCGAGUAAAGAUGUUCCAGACAAGCUUUUCAGGAAACUCCAAGAUAGUCUCAAAUAGCAUCCGAAAGUGCAUGAUUCUUUUUGGAGUCAAUUGUGAAGAAUCACUGAGAUCAACAGCCUUCAGUACAGCAAGUGAAAGGCUAAAAGAAGCAACCAUCUCUGCAACAAACUUGGAUAAGUGCAUUGAUCUGAUCAGCUGCAUCUGAUCAAGCUCCUUGAAAUGAUCCCACAGACAGUACUGCAGGGUGAACUUAUUGUUUUUAUCAUGGCUGCAUAACUUGGAAGCUAGAGCACAAUAGUAUUUGUUAAAAGCUUUCUCCUGUAAACAGCAUUCCACCAAAACUCUUAUGAUUUCCCUAUCCUGCUUGCCUUGCAAAUCUAAUCUUAGAAGUUUCUCAAAUGCAUCUAUAUAGUCCUCCCCACUCAUUAUUACGCAGAAAAUUGCCCUUCUUGCAUCAGUAUUCAUCCUCUGAGCAGCAGCAAGCUGGAGCAUCUUUUGAGCCUCAGUGACCUCCAAAUCAAUUGUGCUGGCAACAUCUUGAACAUCAGUUGUGGAAUCAAUAUUUCCAGACAUCCACCACUGGCCUCUCUUGUCAGGAUCAAUCAGCUUGCUCCACUUUAACCCUCGAAUCAAUAUAUCAACUACUCUGAGCUGUUGUAGCCAUUUCUUUAUUCGGGUAAGCUGCAAGGUCUCCUCCUUCGUCCUUUUUUUAUUGUUUUUGAUAUCACAUAUCAUCUCAAGCAUGAAUUCCAUCCUUUUCCCCAUACUGUUUGAUUGUCCUUCCCCAGAUGAGGAUUUCAAUUCAUUCACCCUAUUCUGAACGCUAACUAUAAAAUUCUUCAUGCCAACAGGAUCAUCACCUCUCAAUUUCAUCCCACAAGCUUGAAGCACUGUCAAUAUGGUAGAAACAUCCACUUCUGUCAGUCUCUUGCUCAAUGUCACCAAGAAAUCAUAUAUCAAGUCACUUGAGCAAACACCAAAAGUGUACAAGUAUGAGAGCAGAAGUGUCAGGUUCCUAACAGAGAGGUUAUCUUCAUUCUGAUACUCAUCCUCAAAACAUUUAGCCAUAGAUGCCAGAAGUUUGGCGCCAAAGUCCAUCCCAACCAAACAUGCCAUGCCAGCAACAAAAGCAGCAAAAACUGCUGCAUACUGUUCAUUGCCACGCGGACCUCUAGAACAUGAUGCCAGAACCUCAUCAUUGAUAAUCUGAGAACCAAAGGUGCGACCAACAGUCUGGUAGAUCGUGGAAAUUUCACUUGUGAUCGAUUCCACGUUAGCCUCGGACAUCCUAUUCAGAAGACCUCUUAGUCGUCGACGAAUUUGAGCGAACUCUUCCGAAUCAUUUCCCAAGCAUGACCUCAGGCGAGGAGCAACAUAUAUUGCAUUUUCUUUGGCAGCAGAUCUAGCUGCUGCCUUCACAUCUGUACAGUAUGAAGUGCUCUCAGCUUUCUGCUCUUCCUCUUGAUUGUAAUCUUCUCCUUGCACUUCUUUAUUAUAUCUUUUCUCUUUAGAUCUUUCAUUUGAGGAGCUCGUAUCACGCUUUCGAGGUGUUUCUCCAACAAGUUGUGUAUUUUCAUCCUCAAAAGAAUCCAGAAGUGAAGGAAUUCCCUCAAAUAAAUUAUUCAUAUCAUCA